UUCUGAGACUCGAAUCCAGCCCCUACGGGCGCAGCAGGCGCGUAAACUUUACAAUGCGGGUAACCGUGAUAGGGGAACUCCGAGUGCCCGUAAAUUCGGCCUGUUAAUCUGUGUAAACAACAGGUUGAGAAAGGGCCGGGCAAGACCGGUGCCAGCCGCCGCGGUAAUACCGGCGGCUCGAGUGGUGGCCACUAUUACUGGGCUUAAAGCGUCCGUAGCUGGGUUAUUAAGUCUCUGGGGAAAUCCACCGGCUCAACCGAUGGGCGUCUCAGGGAUACUGGUAGCCUAGGGACCGGGAGAGGUGAGAGGUACUCCAGGGGUAGGAGUGAAAUCCUGUAAUCCUUGGGGGACCACCUGUGGCGAAGGCGUCUCGCCAGAACGGCUCUGACAGUGAGGGGCGAAAGCUAGGGUCUCGAACCGGAUUAGAUACCCGGGUAGUCCUAGCUGUAAACGAUGUCCGCUAGGUGUGGCGCAGGCUACGAGCCUGCGCUGUGCCGUAGGGAAGCCGAGAAGCGGACCGCCUGGGAAGUACGUCUGCAAGGAUGAAACUCAAAUGAAGUGACGG
rnacentral:rRNA from 1 species